rnacentral:rRNA from 1 species
UUUCGCAAUGCCCGAAAGGGUGACGAAGCGACGCCGCGUGCGGGAAGAAGGCCUUCGGGUUGUAAACCGCUGUCGGGAGUUAAGAAAUGUAAGGAUGUUAAUAGCGUCUUUACUUGACUAAGGCUCCGGAGGAAGCCACGGCUAACUCUGUGCCAGCAGCCGCGGUAAUACAGAGGCGGCAAGCGUUGUUCGGAAUUAUUGGGCGUAAAGAGCACGUAGGCGGCUAUGUAAGUCGGUUGUGAAAGCCUUCCGCUCAACGGGAGAACAGCAUCCGAUACUGCAUGGCUUGAGUGUGGGAGGGGAGAGUGGAACUUCUGGUGGAGCGGUGAAAUGCGUAGAUAUCAGAAGGAACGCCGGCGGCGAAAGCGGCUCUCUGGCCCAUAACUGACGCUGAGUGUGCGAAAGCUAGGGGAGCAAACGGGAUUAGAUACCCCGGUAGUCCUAGCCGUAAACGAUGGGCACUAAGUAGAGGGGUUUU